UUGCAAAAUUCAGUGAAUCAUCGAAUCUUCGAACGCACCUUGCGCCCCCUGGUAUUCCGGGGAGCACACCUGUUCGAGUGUCUUG
rnacentral:rRNA from 1 species